rnacentral:RNase_P_RNA from 1 species
GGAGUUGGCCGGACAGUCGCUGUGCCGCGUGCGGCAGGGAGGAAAGUCCGGGCUCCGCAGGGCAGAGUGCCAGGUAACGCCUGGGAGGCGCGAGCCUACGGAAAGUGCAGCAGAGAGCAGACCGCCGAUGGCCCCGCAAGGGGAUCAGGUAAGGGUGAAAGGGUGCGGUAAGAGCGCACCGCGCGACUGGCAACAGUUCGUGGCACGGCAAACCCCACUCGGAGCAAGACCAAAUAGGAACCCAUUGGCGUGGCCCGCGCUGGGUUCGGGUAGGUUGCUAGAGGCUGUCAGUGAUGGCAGUCGUAGAGGAAUGACUGUCCUCGACAGAACCCGGCUUACAGGCCAACUCCAUUU